rnacentral:piRNA from 2 species
UCCCUUGCCCCAGAACACACUUCGUU